rnacentral:rRNA from 1 species
AUACGGAGGAUGCGAGCGUUAUCCGGAUUUAUUGGGUUUAAAGGGAGCGUAGGCGGGAGCUUAAGUCAGCGGUUAAAUGGUGCGGCUCAACCGUGCCCUGCCGUUGAAACUGGGUUUCUUGAGAGUGCAAGAGGCGGAUGGAAUUCAUGGUGUAGCGGUGAAAUGCUUAGAUAUCAUGAAGAACUCCGAUUGCGAAGGCAGUCCGCUGGGGCACGUCUGACGCUGAUGCUCGAAGGUGCGGGAAUCAAACAGGAUUAGAUAUCCUGGUAGUCCGGACGGUAAACGAUGAUUACCCGCUGUCGGCGGUAGACAGUCGGCGGCCAAGCGAAAGCGAUAAGUAAUCCACCUGGGGAGUACGCCGGCAACGGUGAAACUUAAAGGAAUUGACGGGG